rnacentral:rRNA from 1 species
UAGUCCACGCCGUAAACUAUGGAUACUAGGCGUUCGGAGUGUUAACCCUCUGAGUGCCGGAGCUCACGCAUUAAGUAUCCCGCCUGGGGAGUACGGUCGCAAGGCUAAAACUCAAAGGAAUUGACGGGGGCCCGCACAAGCGGUGGAGUAUGUGGUUUAAUUCGACGCAACGCGCAGAACCUUACCCAGACUUGACAUCCACUGACCGCUAUAGAGAUAUAGUUUUCCCUUCGGGGACAGUGAGACAGGUGCUGCAUGGCUGUCGUCAGCUCGUGUUGUGAAAUGUUCGGUUAAGUCCGGCAACGAGCGCAACCCCUGUCCUUAGUUGCUAACAUUAAGUUGAGGACUCUAAGGAGACUGCCGGUGUUAAACCGGAGGAAGGCGGGGAUGACGUCAAGUCCUCAUGGCCCUUACGUCUGGGGCUACACACGUGCUACAAUGGCAGUGACAAUGGGUUAAUCCCCAAAAACUGUCUCAGUUCGGAUUGGGGUCUGCAACUCGACCCCAUGAAGUCGGAAUCGCUAGUAA